rnacentral:rRNA from 1 species
UACCAGCACCCCGAGUGGUCGGGACGUUUAUUGGGCCUAAAGCAUCCGUAGCCGGUUCUACAAGUCUUCCGUUAAAUCCAACUGCUUAACAGGUGGGCUGCGGAAGAUACUAUAGAGCUAGGAGGCGGGAGAGGCAAGCGGUACUCGAUGGGUAGGGGUAAAAUCCGUUGAUCCAUUGAAGACCACCAGUGGCGAAGGCGGCUUGCCAGAACGCGCUCGACGGUGAGGGAUGGAAAGCUGG